GGAGUUAGCCGGUGCUUCUUCUGUGAGUGAUGUCCUUCCUGCCGGCUAUUAACCCGCAGGCCUUCUUCCUCACUGAAAGUGCUUUACAACCCGAAGGCCUUCUUCACACACGCGGCAUGGCUGGAUCAGGGUUGCCCCCAUUGUCCAAUAUUCCCCACUGCUGCCUCCCGUAGGAGUCUGGGCCGUGUCUCAGUCCCAGUGUGGCUGAUCAUCCUCUCAGACCAGCUACGGAUCGUCGCCUUGGUGAGCCGUUACCUCACCAACCAGCUAAUCCGACAUAGGCUCAUCCGAUAGCGCGAGGCCCGAAGGUCCCCCGCUUUCCCCCGUAGGGCCGUAUGCGGUAUUAGCCUGGGUUUCCCCAGGUUAUCCCCCACUACCGGGCAGAUUCCUAUGCAUUACUCACCCGUCCGCCGCUCGCCACCAGGGAGCAAGCUCCCCGUGCUGCCGCUCGACUUGCAUGUGUUAGGCCUGCCGCCAGCGUUCAAUCUGAACCAAGAUCAAAUUCUGA
rnacentral:rRNA from 1 species